UACGAAGGGGGCUAGCGUUGUUCGGAAUUACUGGGCGUAAAGCGCACGUAGGCGGCUUUGCAAGUUAGAGGUGAAAGCCCGGGGCUCAACUCCGGAAUUGCCUUUAAAAACUGCAUCGCUAGAAUUGUGGAGAGGUAAGUGGAAUUCCGAGUGUAGAGGUGAAAUUCGUAGAUAUUCGGAAGAACACCAGUGGCGAAGGCGACUUACUGGACACAUAUUGACGCUGAGGUGCGAAAGCGUGGGGAGCAAACAGG
rnacentral:rRNA from 1 species